UCCAGUUUGGAUUUUCCAGCUCAAAAUAUCAGUAGAUUUGUUGUGGUAGUGCCUUAACAGGAUUUGAGGCUUCUCCAUUCAGGAAAAGACAAGUUCGGUAGAUACAAAAAUUACAAGAUCCCAAGUUUGGAUUGAAGGUCACAAGAAAAAAAAUGGGGAGCCUAGUACUCAAGCUGUUGGAGAGAAAAUAGUGGACCUAAUUCGACCAAAUG